CGAACGCUGGCGGCGUGCCUAAUACAUGCAAGUCGAGCGGACGAAUCGAAAGCUUGCUUUUGAUUCGUUAGCGGCGGACGGGUGAGUAACACGUGGGCAACCUGCCCUGUAGACGGGGAUAACACCGAGAAAUCGGUGCUAAUACCGGAUAACACGAAAUGUCGCAUGACGUUUCGUUGAAAGACGGCGCAAGCUGUCGCUACAGGAUGGGCCCGCGGCGCAUUAGCUAGUUGGUGAGGUAACGGCUCACCAAGGCGACGAUGCGUAGCCGACCUGAGAGGGUGAUCGGCCACACUGGGACUGAGACACGGCCCAGACUCCUACGGGAGGCAGCAGUAGGGAAUCUUCCGCAAUGGACGAAAGUCUGACGGAGCAACGCCGCGUGAGCGAAGAAGGCCUUCGGGUCGUAAAGCUCUGUUGUUAGGGAAGAACAAGUAACGCAGUAACUGGCGUUACCGUGACGGUACCUAACGAGAAAGCCACGGCUAACUAC
rnacentral:rRNA from 1 species